UUAUGAUCCAAAUUAAUGAGAAUAUUUGCUGCCUCUCAGUUUGUAUCUCUCUUCUUCUUUCACAAACAAAAAAUACACAUCACCCUCUCAAAUAUGAAUAGUGCUCAGGACUGCGGCUGCUUACAUAAGUGGGUCUUCCUGUACAUAACUGGAGCAUUUGUGUUGAAGGUUAGAUGAAUCCAUGAAUCUCCAGAAGUGAAAGUCAAGAGCACUUAAGGAAAUUUAGAAAGAAUGAAGGUAGAUACGUUUUGAUUGCCUGCUGCCACAGCAGAUGUCAGAGUUGCUGGAGAUGACUGGAGCACUCUGCAGCAGUUCAGUUGCACAAUUUUUGCAGGAGGAAGAACUCUUGGUGAUCCAAAAUUGCUGGAUAAAGCCCUUUGGACUCUCUUCUAACUCACAAACUCAUCAGAAAGAUCCAAUCUGUACCCUACCUGCCUGCGUGCUGGUUCUUUUCCUGUGGCCUCAAGAGGUUUUGCAGAUACUGAGGCUGCAAUCAGUCACUUACAAAGAAAGCACAGUCUCAGGCAUGAGCCAGAUUCCCAGAGAAGGCAACAUCCUUCAAGGUCUGUAUUAUCACAGGAAGCAACCAUCAACAUUGUCCAGAGAUUUCGAUAAAAAGCCCAUGCUUCUGCACAAAGAUUGUCUCAUGAAUCAGAGGAUCAUGUCCUUUGCAUGUAUGAUAUGGUUCUUAGAACAGAGUUAUAUAGUCUAGAUGGGGGUUUCCACUGAGAGAGUAUACGAAGAUGAAAGAGGAAGAAUUGCUAUGGGAAGAGGUUUUAUUAAAAAUACAGCUGAAGGUUUUUUCAUCAUAUCUUUGAGUAAACAUUAGUGGGAUAGUGACAGAAGAUGUGUCACUGGAUUUAUUUACUGUAAGACAGUUCUGCCGAGUAAAGUACCAUAUGAAAGCAGCAUGUGUUUUUUUAAUAUAAUGUAAAGAGUAACUUAUUACAGUGACUUUAUUUUCUUCUUGUUUGAUGGAUUGUUGCCAUUUAUUACCACCGAGUAAUGAAACCUAUACUGUGUUUUACACGACAGUAGAAUGUCUUGGGCAGCAUUAAUCAGCCUCACGAAGUGUUCAAGAGAAAUAAUGAAAGAAAGAACUGGCAUGCAAGGCAAGUGCCUUCCAGUUUGUCUCCUGCAACCUUCCUUCCUCUGAAACAUUCAUCAUCUUCCUCUUAGUUUGCCAGGAUCUAAAAUCAGGCAGAUAUUUUCUUAUUAAUAUUGAGGCAGGGCACUGAGAGCUGCCAUCACAUCUUUCUUUAGCUGAGAGAAAAUUACCUCAGCUUAAGCUCAACUACCUCCUGCUAUUUGUAAGUCUAGGGCUUCACAAGCUGUGUUACUUGGCUUGUAUGCUAUGUGCACCUUGAUGAUUCUCCAUGUUUUAUCAUAACUGAUUGUAUACAUAUUCUUAAAGCACGAGAGAGUCUGCAGGCUGGGAUAGAAUCUCAGUCCCAAAUGGAUCAGAAUCUAGGAGGUAAGAGGUGUGCUAGUGUAUCUAAAGGGAUAAGAGACAGCCAAGAAAUACAAGAUACAAAAACAAGGCUACCAAGGAGCUUAGUUCAUGGAGCAAUGAAUGUAUUUGCUGAGGACUUCACAUCCUUUUGGAUAGAAUAUCCGGGGACUGGUUGUCAGCAUACAAGGUGAAUCAAAAUGUGAAUCCUUUCAAGAGUUUGCAUAGAAACCAUGGAAUCUAAUGAGUCAGAAAUAGAGAUGCUCAAGGCACUCCAUUUUGUACUGUCAGAUCUUUUCUUUCUCAGAACUCUCAAGAGUUUUUGCUGUCUAUCAGUUGAACAUAAGGAACGUUUUUACUGCUAAGGAACAGGUAAAGCAAUUUGCUGGCAGAGGCUUUGCCUCUUGUUCUGUCCAGAUAAUGCCAGGGCAUAGAUCACUCUGAGCAAUUACAAUCAUCAGUAACAGAAUUUAGAAAUCACACUUUUGCUGUUAAACACUUGCCAUUACAUUAUAUGACUUCUACAAUGCAGAUCUUUCAUUUGGUACAACAUCAACAUCUUCCUCCUUAGCUAUGACUCCUGCCCUUUCCUCGUCAGUCUGGUUCACCGAAUUGCUAGUUGAUGAACAAAUACUCUGUGCAUGACAACAGAAGGUUAUGCUUUACUGUGUGUUCAUUACAGCCCUUAACCAGUAGCUGAAAGCGUAGUAAAAAAGAUAUCAAGAAAUUUUGUUUUCUGACGGACAUUUUUAUUUUGAUGGGGG
ensembl:lncRNA